UAUUCUGUGCACAACAGUAAUUCACUAAUUUGGUUCAUUGUUUAAGUGAUUCCGCAGAAUUCUAUUGCACCUUUAUUCCCUCAACUCUUGUAAUAGAAUUUCAGGGGUUGGGGGGUCUGAAUUGCUAUUCAAAAUCACCCGUAAUAACAUUUUUCCUUUUUUGGACCAAAAUAGCCUACCUCUCUUAUUCAUCGUUUUCACUUUCACUUCAGCAGAUUUCUUCCUUGACAUUUAUCCCCAAAGUGAACCCUAGAAAUUAGCUCCUUAAUCGACGACAAAUCAAGCAUUCAUUCGCCAUCUUCAUCUUCAUCUUCCUUCUAGUUGAACCUCCUUAUUUACAGUAAGUGCCUUUGAUUCCUAUUUUUUUCUCUGAUUUUUUAGUUAAAGUUCUUUCACUUCUUUCAACUGCUCUUUUCCCCUUUCAUAUUUGGAUAUAAACUAGCAAAGCAGAUUGUAAAACCAGCAAAGCAAAUUAUUCUUGGAUGAUUCAGUGAUAAGCAACUAUUUUGGUUCACCAAAUCCUCCAUCCGACAGAAUUUCAUUCAUCUCCCAUUCACAAAAUUAGUCGAUUGGUUGAUCCGAUUAUUUAGGGAAAUUUAGGGUUAGAAAGCUAAACUUGUUUUUUUUCGAAUUGUUGGGCAUUUCUGUUUAUUGUAAGGGAUUUCAGGUUGCUUGUCUCAAUAGUAAGGGAUUUCAAUUUCAGGUUGGAAUUUGUUGUUUGUGGAAAAUGGGUUGGUGGAGUUUUGGAUUUUGAGCUUUGAAUCAGUUAAGCAAGAAAAAGAAAAAGAAAACAGAGGCAGGGGAGAUAAGGAAAUCAUUUUACCAGUAAAUUUGCCAUUGCUUUGCUUUGCUUUUUUUUUUUAAAUUUUGAUUCUGAAAUGUUGGGCUAGUUACAGUGUAAGCUGAACAAAGCAUUUCAGUUGAGAAAAUAAUUGAAGUUAAAUUAAAGAUAAAUUCGACAUAUGUGCUAAUAUGCUUUGUUUAUUUUUGAAUCUUAAUGCUUAGAAAAUCAUAAGUUGCAUAGAGAUUUAGCUACUGCAUCGGGUUUUAGAUAAAGUUUUACCAGCAUCAUUAGGUUUUCUUUUAAUCUUAUCAAUUAAACAUUUGAUUGAUAAUUUUAGUUUUUUGGGAUUUUAAUUAAUUGGAUAUUGGGUUCGAACGUUUGAUUAGUUUAAUGUAGCUGUAUAAUAUGUGGAAAUAUUUGGUAACAGCUAUCCUGAAAUUUGAUGUAUCAAUCCUUUGUGAUGCUGAAUGGCCUAUGUUGGGAAUUAGGGUUUUCAGUCCUCUUUAGAAAUUGGAUAGAUUUCUUACCUUGCUGCUUGUCCGUAGUUCCACCAAAAAAAUAUGACCCUAUGUUAGGCCUUUUAUGGAGUUUAGAUGGAAGUUUUAGAUGUUGCAAAAUUAGAUUGCUUUUAGUGCAAUGGUUCUUUUUACUGGAUUUUGUUUAAUGAUGCUUUAUUUGAUACAGUUUAAUGUGCUUUUUAGAUCAUAUGUUUCAGAUGAGAUGGAUCAGAGUAUUUAGAAGAAUACGGUGAGAACAGGGUAAUUUUCAAACUGUGUUCUUAACCUUAAAUGCUACUGUUUCUUCCUCUUCUUUCUUUCUUUUUCUUAAAUUUUGUUAGUAUAAUGUUAUAAGUUGAAAGAAGUAAGAGCAUUUAUUUCUUUGUAUUUUCUGCCCUCUUGGAAUGUACCGUAUACAUUAUGUUGUUGUGGUUAACUUUAACAUUUUAUUGGAGUGUUUUGAAAACUAGGAGGAUAGAGGAUUGGUGGGAAGAAUGAUAGAAAAUGAGAGUACUUUUUCAUUCAUAUGCUCUCUAAGAAUGAUUUAGAAUUGGAAUGCAAGAAAAUGAUAUACCUAUUUAGUUUUUGUCUGUAAUCUCGCCAUCCUUUUUGUUUUGCUGGAUUAAAUAUUUAAGGUUUUAAGCUGUAAUUAGAAGAUGUCAUAGUUAUAAUUAAGAUGUCCUACUGCUGUAUCGUGAUUAAAAUGUAAGUAUUCAUGCUGUAAGUAUUUAUGUUGUCUUAAAACAUUAUCUGAAGUGGAUUAAUUGUUGUAAUUUAAACGGCCUUAAUAAUGAAAUUGUGGUAUCUUAAAAUGAUAAAUUGAGAGGAGUUAUAGUUGUAAUUUAUAGUGCUUGGGUGUCGUGGUUAAAAUGUAUAACUCUGGGAUUGAUAUUGAUGAUGUGCUGGUAAUGAAUAAAUCGAGUUUAAUUUGCCAAAUGACAUGUUAUUUUAGAAAUACAAAUUGAGUGUUGCUAAUGGUGAGUUUUCUUUAAACUCCUUUAUUAUUUCCAUGCUCAAAAUUCUUAUCAAUUUUACAUGGAUGAUUCGGCGAUAGUUAAAUAGGGAAAAAAAUUGUUCUUUACAAAUUUCAUGGUUGCUACUGUUUUGUAUUGGUUAAACUUGUUUAUUUCAGAUUUAGUUGUUGUCCAAUUAGUGCAAAAAUUUCCUGUAGCUCAAGCAAAGUAGAUGCUGUUGCUGCUCGGUUUUGUACUUUUAAAGCCCUAUUUAAGUACUGCAAUUUGAAGUGUUUAGUAGUUGGAAAUUGAGAUGUUUUAUUGCUGUAAUUGAGGUGCAUAAAUGUUGUUAAUAGAGAUGUUAAAGUGCUGCAAAUUGAAGUGUUUAAAUGCUGUAAAUUGAAGUGUUAAAAUGUAGCAAAUUGAAGUAUUUAAAUGCUGUGAAUUGAAGUGUUAAAGUGCUGCAAAUUGAAGUGUUUAAAUGUUGUAAAUUGAAGUGUUUUAAGUACUGAGGUGUAUAAAUGUUGUUAAUUGGGAUGUUAAAGUGUUGUAAGUUGAGGUGUUUAAAUGCUGUAAAUUGAAGUGUUUAAUUGUUGUAAAUUGAGGUGCUGAAAUGAUGUAAAUCGAAGUGUUUAAGUGCUGCAAAUAAUAUAUGAUUUAAUAACAUUCUUAAUAUAAUUAUCUCAACAAACGAAACAAAAAAAAAAGAGAAAGUAAAAUGCUACAAACAAAUCAUGUUAUGGUAAGAAUGUAAC
rnacentral:lncRNA from 1 species